CAGAAUCGUCGGGUCUCAAACAGCGUACAGAUUUUAUUCCGUCUUUUGGAGAUACUUUGGAGAACCCUGAUGAGCAGGUUGUGACCAUGACUCUCAGCCAGCAGAGGGCCCAGCAGAAGGACAAGGCUGCCUGAAUUUAAGGAACACUCCACCAUACCUUUGACUUUGAAAAGGACACACUUGUACCAUUAUUUUAGGGGACCUUGUCCCCAACGUUUUAGCUUGGAUUUUCAGCUUUUAGACAUAUAUUGUAAUGUUCAC
rnacentral:lncRNA from 1 species